rnacentral:rRNA from 1 species
UACAGAGGUCUCAAGCGUUGUUCGGAAUUACUGGGCGUAAAGCGUGCGUAGGCGGCGGGGUAAGUCGGGUGUGAAAUCUCAGGGCUCAACCCUGAAAUUGCAUUCGAUACUGCUUCGCUUGAGCUCUGAAGAGGAGGUUGGAAUUUACGGUGUAGCAGUGAAAUGCGUAGAUAUCGUAAGGAAGGCCGGUGGCGAAAGCGAACCUCUGGGCAGCAGCUGACGCUGUGGCACGAAGGCUAGGGGAGCAAACGGG